AGUGUGGUGGUCUAGAGGUAUGAUUCCUUCUUAGCGUGGAGGAGGUCCCGGGUUCAAUUCCUGGCCAGGCCC
rnacentral:tRNA from 1 species